GUACUACUCUCUUCAUUUCAAAAUUCUUAUCUUAAAUUUGUCUAGAUAUGAAUGUAUCUAGUCACAUUUUAGUAUUUAGAUACAUCCAUUUUUAAACAAACUUAAGAUAAGAAUUUUGGGACGAAGGGAGUAUAAC
rnacentral:pre_miRNA from 1 species